rnacentral:lncRNA from 1 species
GAUUAAAGGCGUGUGCCACCACCGCCCAGAUAGAUAGAUAGAUAGAUAGAUAGAUAGAUAGAUAGAUAGAUAGAUAGAACAAAGUACUCAUAGCAUGGUAGCUUUUUAACCAUCAUAAAGUAAACAAUUCACAGGUAUUAUUAGUAUUAUCAUUCUGUUAUUCUAGUUCCUCAACCAUCUAGAACUUCCUCAUUUUCCAUAAGUGACCUGUUCACCUUAAAGAGUUCCUCAGUUCUCCCUGCUACCAACUCCACAUCACAAAUAUUUUAGUUCUGUCCAUGAAUUGUUGACUUCAGAUACAUUUGUAUGCAUUUGUCUUCCUGUGACAUGAUUCUUCAUCAUGUUAUGAAGUCAUAAAUGUCUAUAUGUAGCACAUAGUAGUCUUGUUUUCCUUUUCAAGAUUAAUAGUCUGUCACAUUUCACGUAUUUAUCCAUGUAUCUUUGAUUGAACAUUUUGUUGAUUCUGUUUCUUAGUAUGUGGAUAAUGAUGCCAUGACCAUAGGUCACAUGAUGAAUAUAUAUCUUUUCUUUACAGCUUCCCAUUUUUGAGGGCACAUACGAAAGGAUGACAGAUGUUUCAUGUAGCAAUUCUAUUUUACUUUUUCUUUUUUGUUUUACAUUGGAUAUUUUCUUUACUUACAUUUCAAAUGUUAUCCCCUUUCCCCAUUUCCCUCCCUCCCAAAAACACCCUAUCACAUCCUCCCUCCCCCUGCUUCUAUGAGGGUGUUCCUAUACCCACCUACCACUUCCACCUUCCCACCCUUGAUUCCCCUUCACUGGGGCAUCUAUCGAGCUUCAUAGGACCAAAGACCUCUCCUUCCAUUGAUUGACAAGUCCAUUCUCUGCUACAUAUGCAGCUGGAACCAUGUGUACUCCUUUGUUGAUGGCUUAGUCCAUGGGGAUUCUGGGGGGUCUGGUUGGUUGAUAUUGUUGCUCUUCCUAUAGAGUUGCAAAACCCCUCAAUUCCUUCAAUCCUUUCUCUAACUCCUCUUUUAGAGACCCCAGGCUCAAUCCAAUGGUUGACUGCUAACAUCUGCCUCUGUAUAUGUCAUGCUCUGGCAGAGGCACUCAGGAGACAGCCAUAUCAGGCUCCUGUCAUCAUGUACUUCUUGGGAUCCACAAUAGUGUCUGGGUUUGUUAACUGUAUAUAGGAUGAAUCCCCAGGUGGGACAGUCUCUGGAUGGCCUUUCCUUUAGUCUCGGCUCUACACUUUAUCUCCAUAUUUGCUCCUGUGAGUAUUUUGUUCUCCUUCUAAGAAGGACCUAAGUACCCACACUUUGGUCUUCCUUCUUAUUGAGCUUCAUGUGGUCUGUGAAUUGUAUCCUGGUUAUUUGGAGCUUUGGGGCUAUGAUCCACUUAUCAGUGAAUGCAUACCAUGUGUUUUCUUUUGAGAUUGGUUUACCUUACUCAGGAUAUUUUCUAGUUCUAUCCAUUUGCCUAAAAAUUUCAUGAAUUCAUCAUUUUUAAUAGCUGAGUAGCACUACAUAGUGUAAAUGUACCAAAUUUUCUGUAUCCAUUCCUCUAUUGAAGGACAUCUGGGUUCUUUCCAGCUUCUGCCUAUUAUAAAUAAGGCUGCUAUGAACAUGGUGGAGCAUGUGUCCUUAUUACAUUUUGGAGCAUCUUCUGGGUAUGUACCCAGGAGUGGUAUGGGUGGGUCCUCAGGUAACUAUGUCCAAUUUUCUGAGGAACUGCCAAACUGAUUUCCAGCUGGGUUGUACCAGCUUGCAUUCUCACCAAAAAUAGAGGAGUGUUUCUCUUACUCCACAUCCUUGACAACAUCUGCUGUCACCUGAUUAUUUGAUUUUAGCCAUUCUGACUGGUGUGAGAUGGAAUCUCAGGGUUGUUUUGAUUUGCAUUUCUUUAAUGAACCUUGAUGCAAAAAUACUCAGUAAAAUUCUUGCCAACCCAAUUCAAGAACACACCAAAACGGUCAUUCACCAUUCUCAAGUACCCUUCAUCUCAGGGAUGCAUGAAUGUUUCAAUAUACAGAAAUCCAUCAACAUAAUCCACUACAUAAACAAACUC